AUUGUCAUGAGUAGUAAAAGGGCUCGCGAGGUAUUAAUUCAUGAAUGAAGUCGAUGGGGAUUCGUGAACGUGCAUUGAGUAGAAAAUUAUGUGACGUCGCUUUGCUUAAUCGAUCGAUCCUGUUGAAUCUUAUUCAUCAGACGCAUUUAUAUGCAUUGUGGACUCAAUUUAGUAACUAUGGUGUUAUGCAGCAAAAGUUAAAAGAUCGAGUCCUUCAAGUAUCGAAGACAAAAACAUUCUCGACAUACCGAUUCAAUUUUGAAAGCAUGACAAAACUAUACGGAAUGACGUUUACACAUAUGUAUUUCGCGUUCUUAAAUGAUUAGAAUCCAGGAUGUAAGCUUUUAACUAAAGUAGAAAAUAUAUAGGUUUAACGGAACUACGCAACGAAGAAGGAAUGUACGAAUUACGUAAAUUAAAUACAUCUAAUAAUGCGAUAGCGAACAAAGAAAGCUCAUUUUUUAAAUAUUAAGUGAUACGUAACUAAUUAAAAUAUAAGUUAAUUUUAUCAAAAGUUUCUUCUAAUAAAAAUUCUGCAAGUUUCCUGAAAAUAUUAAUUUUCGUAAAGUAUUCUAAAUUAAGUUGAACUAAAAUUUUUGAGUCGUAGUUAAACAUUUCUUUUAACUCAACGAUAAUUUUUUUGUUACUCUGAAACACGUUGAUGAUUCGAUAUCACAAAAACAGAAAACACUUGAAAAAUGUUAUUAAAAACAAAAUUGCAAUAACCGGAUGUAACUUUAUUUCGUCACAUUACAUUUAUUAUAUGUCCAAAAUCAAAUUCUGCUUAUACAUACACAAGCUUUAAACAUUUACACUUUUCAUUAUCAACUUUCAUCGUUCGAGAUUGAAUUUAUAUAUUUUUAACAGAUAAUAUUUAAAGUCCUUUUUCGUAUUAUCAGAUACGAUUAUUUCAAAAUUCAUAGGAUGGCUCUUUAAAUUCGAAAAAAAGAGUUUUCACUGACUUUCCAUCACAAACGCGUUUCGAUAUUCGAUGCAUGGUGCAAACUUUUAACAAUUUUGUCUCUUUACC